UUUCCACGCAGCAGUGGGGAAUAUUGGACAAUGGGGGGAACCCUGAUCCAGCGACGCCGCGUGAGUGAAGAAGUAUUUCGGUAUGUAAAGCUCUAUCAGCAGGGAAGAAAGAAAUGACGGUACCUGACUAAGAAGCCCCGGCUAACUACGUGCCAGCAGCCGCGGUAAUACGUAGGGGGCAAGCGUUAUCCGGAUUUACUGGGUGUAAAGGGAGCGUAGACGGCGAUGCAAGUCUGAAGUGAAAGGCGGGGGCCCAACCCCCGGACUGCUUUGGAAACUGUAUAGCUGGAGUGCAGGAGAGGUAA
rnacentral:rRNA from 1 species